GGUUAAGCGACUAAGCGUACACGGUGGAUGCCCUGGCAGUCAGAGGCGAUGAAGGACGUGCUAAUCUGCGAAAAGCGCCGGCGAGGUGAUAUGAACCCUUGACCCGGCGAUGUCCGAAUGGGGAAACCCAGUGCAAUCCGUUGCACUAUCGUUAACUGAAUACAUAGGUUAACGAGGCGAACCGGGGGAACUGAAACAUCUAAGUACCCCGAGGAAAAGAAAUCAACCGAGAUUCCCCCAGUAGCGGCGAGCGAACGGGGAGCAGCCCGGAGUCUGAAUCAGCUUGUGUGUUAGUGGAACGGUCUGGAAAGUCCGACGGUACAGGGUGAUAGUCCCGUACACGAAAAUGCACAUGCUGUGAACUCGAAGAGUAGGGCGGGACACGUGGUAUCCUGUCUGAAUAUGGGGGGACCAUCCUCCAAGGCUAAAUACUCCUGACUGACCGAUAGUGAACCAGUACCGUGAGGGAAAGGCGAAAAGAACCCCGGCGAGGGGAGUGAAAAAGAACCUGAAACCGUGUACGUACAAGCAGUGGGAGCCUCUUUAUGGGGUGACUGCGUACCUUUUGUAUAAUGGGUCAGCGACUUAUAUUCUGUAGCAAGGUUAACCGUAUAGGGGAGCCGAAGGGAAACCGAGUCUUAACUGGGCGUUAAGUUGCAGGGUAUAGACCCGAAACCCGGUGAUCUAGCCAUGGGCAGGUUGAAGGUUGGGUAACACUAACUGGAGGACCGAACCGACUAAUGUUGAAAAAUUAGCGGAUGACCUGUGGCUGGGGGUGAAAGGCCAAUCAAACCGGGAGAUAGCUGGUUCUCCCCGAAAGCUAUUUAGGUAGCGCCUCGUGAACUCAUCUUCGGGGGUAGAGCACUGUUUCGGCUAGGGGGCCAUCCCGGCUUACCAACCCGAUGCAAACUACGAAUACCGAAGAAUGUUAUCACGGGAGACACACGGCGGGUGCUAACGUCCGUCGUGAAGAGGGAAACAACCCAGACCGCCAGCUAAGGUCCCAAAGUCAUGGUUAAGUGGGAAACGAUGUGGGAAGGCACAGACAGCCAGGAUGUUGGCUUAGAAGCAGCCAUCAUUUAAAGAAAGCGUAAUAGCUCACUGGUCGAGUCGGCCUGCGCGGAAGAUGUAACGGGGCUAAACCAUGCACCGAAGCUGCGGCAGCGACACUUAUGUGUUGUUGGGUAGGGGAGCGUUCUGUAAGCCGUUGAAGGUGUGCUGUGAGGCAUGCUGGAGGUAUCAGAAGUGCGAAUGCUGACAUAAGUAACGAUAAAGCGGGUGAAAAGCCCGCUCGCCGGAAGACCAAGGGUUCCUGUCCAACGUUAAUCGGGGCAGGGUGAGUCGACCCCUAAGGCGAGGCCGAAAGGCGUAGUCGAUGGGAAACAGGUUAAUAUUCCUGUACUUGGUGUUACUGCGAAGGGGGGACGGAGAAGGCUAUGUCAGCCGGGCGACGGUUGUCCCGGUUUAAGCAUGUAGGCGGAGGUUCCAGGUAAAUCCGGUACCUUGUUAACGCUGAGGUGUGAUGACGAGGCACUACGGUGCUGAAGUGAUAAAUGCCCUGCUUCCAGGAAAAGCCUCUAAGCAUCAGGUAACACGAAAUCGUACCCCAAACCGACACAGGUGGUCAGGUAGAGAAUACCAAGGCGCUUGAGAGAACUCGGGUGAAGGAACUAGGCAAAAUGGUGCCGUAACUUCGGGAGAAGGCACGCUGAUGUGUAGGUGAAGCCCCUGCGGGUGGAGCUGAAAUCAGUCGAAGAUACCAGCUGGCUGCAACUGUUUAUUAAAAACACAGCACUGUGCAAACACGAAAGUGGACGUAUACGGUGUGACGCCUGCCCGGUGCCGGAAGGUUAAUUGAUGGGGUUAGCGGCAACGCGAAGCUCUUGAUCGAAGCCCCGGUAAACGGCGGCCGUAACUAUAACGGUCCUAAGGUAGCGAAAUUCCUUGUCGGGUAAGUUCCGACCUGCACGAAUGGCGUAAUGAUGGCCAGGCUGUCUCCACCCGAGACUCAGUGAAAUUGAACUCGCUGUGAAGAUGCAGUGUACCCGCGGCAAGACGGAAAGACCCCGUGAACCUUUACUAUAGCUUGACACUGAACACUGGUCCUUGAUGUGUAGGAUAGGUGGGAGGCUUUGAAGCGUGGACGCCAGUCUGCGUGGAGCCAACCUUGAAAUACCACCCUUUAAUGGCUGGUGUUCUAACGUAGACCCGUAAUCCGGGUUGCGGACAGUGUCUGGUGGGUAGUUUGACUGGGGCGGUCUCCUCCCAAAGAGUAACGGAGGAGCACGAAGGUUGGCUAAUCCUGGUCGGACAUCAGGAGGUUAGUGCAAUGGCAUAAGCCAGCUUGACUGCGAGCGUGACGGCGCGAGCAGGUGCGAAAGCAGGUCAUAGUGAUCCGGUGGUUCUGAAUGGAAGGGCCAUCGCUCAACGGAUAAAAGGUACUCCGGGGAUAACAGGCUGAUACCGCCCAAGAGUUCAUAUCGACGGCGGUGUUUGGCACCUCGAUGUCGGCUCAUCACAUCCUGGGGCUGAAGUAGGUCCCAAGGGUAUGGCUGUUCGCCAUUUAAAGUGGUACGCGAGCUGGGUUUAGAACGUCGUGAGACAGUUCGGUCCCUAUCUGCCGUGGGCGCUGGAGAAUUGAGGGGGGCUGCUCCUAGUACGAGAGGACCGGAGUGGACGCAUCACUGGUGUUCGGGUUGUCAUGCCAAUGGCACUGCCCGGUAGCUAAAUGCGGAAGAGAUAAGUGCUGAAAGCAUCUAAGCACGAAACUUGCCCCGAGAUGAGUUCUCCCUGAGAC
rnacentral:rRNA from 1 species